UACGUAGGGCGCAAGCGUUGUCCGGAAUUAUUGGGCGUAAAGAGCUCGUAGGCGGCUUGUCACGUCGAUUGUGAAAGCCCGAGGCUUAACCUCGGGUCUGCAGUCGAUACGGGCUAGCUAGAGUGUGGUAGGGGAGAUCGGAAUUCCUGGUGUAGCGGUGAAAUGCGCAGAUAUCGGGAGGAACACCAGUGGCGAAGGCGGCUCACUGGUCCGGUACUGACGCUGAGGUGCGAAAGCGUGGGGAGCAAACAGG
rnacentral:rRNA from 1 species